UGAGGGACAGGGGUACCUGACAACGUUCUGAGGGACAGGGGUACCUGACAACGUUCUGAGGGACAGGGGUACCUGACAACGUUCUGAGGGACAGGGGUACCUGACAACGUUCUGAGGGACAGGGGUACCUGACAACGUUCUGAGGGACAGGGGUACCUGACAACGUUCUGAGGGACAGGGGUACCUGACAACGUUCUGAGGGACAGGGGUACCUGACAACGUUCUGAGGGACAGGGGUACCUGACAACGUUCUGAGGGACAGGGGUACCUGACAACGUUCUGAGG